rnacentral:rRNA from 1 species
AGCGAACGCUGGCGGCAGGCCUAACACAUGCAAGUCGAACGAACCUUUCGGGGUUAGUGGCGGACGUGUGAGUAACACGUGGGAACGUGCCUUUAGGUUCGGAAUAACUCAGGGAAACUUGUGCUAAUACCGAAUGUGCCCUUCGGGGGAAAGAUUUAUCGCCUUUAGAGCGGCCCGCGUCUGAUUAGCUAGUUGGUUGAGGUAAUGGCUCACCAAGGCGACGAUCAGUAGCUGGUCUGAGGGGAUGAUCAGCCACAUUGGGACUGAGACACGGCCCAAACUCCUACGGGAGGCAGCAGUGGGGAAUCUUGCGCAAUGGGCGAAAGCCUGACGCAGCCAUGCCGCGUGAAUGAUGAAGGUCUUAGGAUUGUAAAAUUCUUUCACCGGGGACGAUAAUGACGGUACCCGGAGAAGAAGCCCCGGCUAACUUCGUG